UACAGAGGGGGCGAGCGUUGUUCGGAAUUACUGGGCGUAAAGGGCGCGUAGGCGGCCUGCUAAGUCGAACGUGAAAUCCCCGGGCUCAACCCGGGAACUGCGUCCGAUACUGGUGGGCUUGAAUCCGGGAGAGGGAUGUGGAAUUCCAGGUGUAGCGGUGAAAUGCGUAGAUAUCUGGAGGAACACCGGUGGCGAAGGCGGCAUCCUGGACCGGUAUUGACGCUGAGGCGCGAAAGCCAGGGGAGCGAACGGG
rnacentral:rRNA from 1 species